rnacentral:rRNA from 1 species
UACGGAGGAUGCGAGCGUUAUCCGGAUUUAUUGGGUUUAAAGGGUGCGUAGGCGGAUCGUUAAGUCAGUGGUCAAAUUGAGGGGCUCAACCCCUUCCCGCCAUUGAAACUGACGAUCUUGAGUGGAAGAGAAGUAUGCGGAAUGCGUGGUGUAGCGGUGAAAUGCAUAGAUAUCACGCAGAACCCCGAUUGCGAAGGCAGCAUGCCGGCUUCCUACUGACGCUGAAGCACGAAAGCGUGGGGAUCGAACAGG